rnacentral:rRNA from 1 species
CAACCCUUGUCCUUAGUUACCAGCACGUUAUGGUGGCACUCUAAGGAGACUGACCGGUGACAACCGGAGGAAGGUGGGGAUGACGUCAAGUCAUCAUGGCCCUUACGGCCUGGGCUACACACGUGCUACAAUGGUCGGUACAAAGGGUUGCCAAGCCGCGAGGUGGAGCUAAUCCCAUAAAACCGAUCGUAGUCCGGAUCGCAGUCUGCAACUCGACUGCGUGAAGUCGGAAUCGCUAGUAAUCGUGAAUCAGAAUGUCACGGUGAAUACGUUCCCGGGCCUU